rnacentral:rRNA from 1 species
UGACGGUAUCAUAUGAAUAAGCACCGGCUAACUCCGUGCCAGCAGCCGCGGUAAUACGGGGGGUGCAAGCGUUACUCGGAAUCACUGGGCGUAAAGAGCAUGUAGGCGGGUGAAUAAGUUGGAAGUGAAAUCCUAUAGCUUAACUAUAGAACUGCUUCCAAAACUGUUCACCUAGAGUAUGGGAGAGGUAGAUGGAAUUUCUGGUGUAGGGGUAAAAUCCGUAGAGAUCAGAAGGAAUACCGAUUGCGAAGGCGAUCUACUGGAACAUUACUGACGCUCAGAUGCGAAAGCGUGGGGAGCAAACAGGAUUAGAUACCCUGGUAGUCCACGCCCUAAACGAUGUACACUAGUUGUUGCUAUACUAGAUAUGGCAGUAAUGCAGUUAACACUUUAAGUGUACCGCCUGGGGAGUACGGUCGCAAGAUUAAAACUCAAAGGAAUAGACGGGGACCCGCACAAGCGGUGGAGCAUGUGGUUUAAUU